GAGUAAGCGGCUGUGUAGUUGCUGACUGGGGUUAAACCACGACACAGUAGAGAGACAGACACAGCAUUUCAGCGUUAGGCUAGCUGAGUGUUAUUCUGACUGCCUACAGUGUCCAAAGUCAGGUGGGAUAAAGAUAAACUGGAAUAGAGGAAAAGUUUGUAGCAGAAGGUAACAUGAGAAGAAGGACUCUAAAAGGCCUCCAGGCCUGAAAUACAGCUCAUACAGAGAUCACCAAGGAACUGCAUUUACCUACAUGAAUGCAGAAGGUGAGAGAGGUUGUAGCACUGUACUGACAGUGAACUUCAGGCACUAAGCUAAGGACAUCUGAAAUGGAAGUUUUGCUAUCCCUGUUUCAGCCACUGAAGGAGAAAACACCAAGACUGAAAAGAAGCAGCAUCACUAUAUCUGCUGAAACUAGCACAGGGAGAGAGAGAGACUAAGAAGGGAGUCAUUUAAGAACAUGAGAGUAAGCUUCAAUUAUUUCUAAGCAGCGCUAUUGCAGAAUCUUAACUUGAAACAGAGACUGAGGAGAUCUGAAGCCCAAGUGUCAGAAGUCAAAGAUGUGAAUGAAAUACACUCAACUUUUCAUUAAAUAUGAAUACCUCCACCAGGCAACAACAGGGGGUCUUUUGCCGACAUGAUUUCAGACCAAAAGAAAGGCUUACAUUUUCUGAAAAUGUCUCAUUUUUUUCCAGCCAUAUGAAUUGCAAAAAUAAAAGAUGUUAUGUCUCAUUACAACUGAUGACACUUUGAGGCCUCAUAAGAAAACUCUCCAUGACUGAAAUAUUGGUUAAGUACAUUUUGUGAAAUUUAUUCUGUUGCUAGCAAUUGAUUUUUAAUUGUAUUGCCACAGUACUUCUGAAGUGAAAACGUUAGGAAGAUAGUUCUCUGCAAGUAUGAAUUUCAGCCCCCCAAAUCUUCUGCAUCAUCUUCUUGACAUACCUGGGAGAGGCUAAGCUGAUUGUUAAAGAGAAGAAAGAGGUAAUACCAGAGUAUUAAUAAUAAUCAUUGACAAAUGGCCUCUAGUCAGAGCUCCUGAGGGGUCAUGGGGUCACAACAAAGCUGAAGU